ACGGAGGCAAAAGAGCUAUUGAAUAGAUAGCAACAUACAUUGGACAAUGGAUGACCUUUGGAUAAUAUUGAUGAAUUUGUCAACGACCAGAAUAAAAUCUCGAAGCAGAGCCUGACCGUCAGUGUACAGUGUUCAGACGGCAGUGCUGAAAGACAGUGGUCCCCUGUACAGUGCGGAUUAUGAUGCUGUGAAAGAGAACCUAAGGAACUGCAGCAGAUAAAUAAAUCCUGUAUGUCCGCCACAUCUGGCUUACAUCUGACAAAUCCAUCAAGGAAGAGGUAGAAGCAGCCCAUAUGUCCUCUUCAGUGGAUGAGAAGCCCUCAAGCCCAGUCCCUAAAGCAGAGACUCCUGUCAAGGAGGAACUACCAAAAGGUGCUGUGGUUGAGAAAGAUAUUAGUAGUAAGAGCAAGCGUCUUGACCAUUCCGAUAGUGAAGAGAAGAACAGGCGUCAGAGGAUAAAGAAGCCCCAGUCAGACAGUACUGAUGAUGAGGGUAAGAUGAGCUGUAAAGGGAGGGCAUGCUUAUUGCUCAGGCUCCCCUCGACAUUCACACUGGACUUCAGAGUUCAACUGUUUCAUGGUUAAUAACAGAACUAUUCUAUGUUAGUUAUUCCAGAUUCUCCUCCAAGGUUGCAAGACCAGAGGGGCCCAUCACCAAGCCUUCUGAAUCAAAAAAAGAAAUAACCUUUUUUCUAUUUUUCAUUCAGAUGUAAGCGUUCACAUUUUAUUUAUUUAAGUACUAAACUGUUGAAGUUGCAGGAUAUAAUUUAGUAAGACUUUUUUAUUUAUUUUUUAUCACCAAUUUGUAAUGAUCGUUAUCUACCUAUCAGUCCAUGUAGGAGCUUUCGGAUUGUAAGAGGAGACCUGUCUUGAAACCGCGCACCUUUUUGGAUGAGGGGUGCAUUGUGACUGAGAAAUGCUAUGAGAGUGAAUCCUACUCUGAGAAAGAGGAUGACUUUAAGGCAAGUAAACCAUCCCAGAUGAAUCCAGACCUACCAAUACCAUCAACUGGCAAGAAAGGGGAGGAGAAGAGAAGGAAGAAUGUUGCAGCCUCUAAUAAAUCAACUAAGCAGGCUUCUAUUAUGGGAUUCUUUCAAAAGAAAUGACCGACAUACUCGCAAUGUACUGAACACAGAAGAUUAACAUCCAUUUUGAGGGACUUGAGGCCCUGGUGGAGAGAAUCUAGACUGACGCACAUUAUCAAAUGUCCCGGCAACAUUUGGAAGAAUGCUGUCAUUUUUUUCCCUAUUUUAAAAAAACAAACAAUUUUUUAAUAUAUUUCCACAUUACUGUAUAUGAUAAAGUGGCAUAAAUAUAUCCACAACACAUUGUAAAGUACCGUCAGAGCUAGUUGACCAUUGCCAUGUUAUUGUAGCACUUAUUUUGUGGGUUUGAAAUUGGUUACAAUUCUGCAAGUAUUGAAGGGUUCAUACUGUGGGGAACCAGAACAGAUUCUGAACAGCCGCAGUACGGCACGCUCUUUCCAGCGGGGCUAUACAUUUGGGUGAGGUUUUUUUCUCACCUGAGGAGCCUCGUUUCACUGCCAAAAAUCAUAUUAAACCAUCUAGUAUUCAGUGAAAUAACACCAUGUCAAAUAUAGGUAGCCAUAUCAAAUAAUUAACAUCCAAUCACAUUAACCCUUAAUCUCUCCUGGGAAUUCCACUAAUGGUCCGUAUGUAGCUGCUGCUCAUGUUGGUAUCUGUACUGAUGGUGCAAAAGACAUGACGGAGACAUUGGAGUAGUAACGAGUAUGCAAGCAGUUGCUCCCGACGUCACUUGGGUACACUGCAGCAUCUACCGAGAGGCUCUUGCUGCCAAGGGAAUGCCUGACAGAUUGAAAGACGUUUUGGACACUACAGUGAAAAUGGUUAACUUUGUUAAAGCAAGGCCCCUGAACUCUCGUAUUUUCUGCACUAUGCAAUGAUAUGGGCAGCGACCAUGUAACGCUUUUACAACAUACAGAAGUGCGCUGGUUAUUAAGGGGAAAAGUAGUGACACGUUUUUUAAAAUUGAGAGACGAGCUUAGAGUUUUCUUUACUGACCAUAAUUUUCACUUGUCUGACCUCUUGCAUGAUGAGUUUCUUACACGACUGGCCUAUUUGGGUGAUUACAGGGACUCUCCACAACUAUAUUCAAUGUGCGGGACAAAAUUGAGGCUAUGAUUAAGAAGUUGGAGCUCUUCUCUGUCUCCAUUAACAAGGACAACACACAGGUCUUUACAUCAAUGUAUGAUAUUUUGUGUGCAAAUGAACUCAAGCUUACGGACAAUGUCAAAUGUGAUAUAGCGAAGCACCUGAGUAAAUUGGGUGUGCAAUUACGGAGGUACUUUUCUGAAGCGGAUGACACAAACAACUGGAUUGGUUAUCCCUUUCAUACCCUGCCUCCAGUCCACUUACCGAUAUCUGAACAAGAGAGCCUCAUCGAAAUUGCAACAAGCGGUUCUGUGAAAAUAGAUUUUUAUCAGAAGCCAAUGGCAGAUUUCUGGAUUGGGCUGCGCUCAGAGUAUCCUGCCUUGGCAAAUAGAGCUUUUAAGACACUGAUGCCCUUUGCAACCAUGUACCUAUGUGAGAGUGGAUUCUCGGCCCUCACUAGCAUGAAAACCAAGUACAGGCACAGACUGUGUGGAAAAUGAUGUAAGACUGAGACUCUCCAAUACCACCCAACAUUGCAGAGUUAUGUGCAUCCUUUCAAGCACACCCUUCUCAUUAACCUGUGGUGAGUUAUUCACAAUUUUCGAUUAAAAAAUAAGGUUUUAUAUGUAAGAUGGUUAAAUAA